rnacentral:lncRNA from 1 species
CGUGAGGUCCUGGCGGGAUUCUGGAACAGGAAAGGGCGUCACUGGGAUGACAGGUGGGGAAGGUCUCCAGGUGCAUGGCACACCUGCUGCCCUGGCUCUCCAGCCAGGCUCCCCAGGGAGGAAGCAGUGGCCCCUCCCCCAGCACAGGCUCCUCCCCUGGCAAGGCCCCUCCCCCAGCACAGGCCCCUCCCCUGGCACAGGCCCCUCCCCACACACAGGCCCCUCCCCUGGCACAGGCCCCUCCUCCCACACAGGCCCCUCCCCCAGCAAGGCCCCUCCCCUGACUGCGCCCCAGACACAGACGCUCACUGGGCGGAGUGGAGCGUGGACAUGUGGGCCCCAGCUUUUUGUUGGGCACGUAUAUUCUGAGCCAGGUUCUGGUGGAGCAGGAGCUGCAACACUCAACCAAACAGCAUUCCUGGCGACACGGAGUGGAGUGAGGGGUCCACCAAGAAAACAACCAACGAGGCCAGAAUUCACACGGCCGAGAUAAGGUGGGAGAGGAUGUGGGAUCCUGUGCAGACAGGGUGGCCAGAAAGCCCUUUCCAGGGGGAGGCUUGCG